CUUCCACUAAGAAUGCAUAAGGAUUCUAGUUUCUUCCCUUUCUUACAAACACUUGGUAUUACCAGUCCUUUUAAUUUCAGCCCUUCUGGUGGGAGUGUAGUGGGUGGGGGUCUCAUUGUGGUUUUCUGGUGGGGAAGAGAGGGGUUGCUUCUCCUCGGUACUCUUAUGAUUAUGUUGUUGAUUAUGUAGUUGGGUUUUGAAAGUUUGGUUUUCAGGCUUCCUGGCUUUCAUUCCCCAUUUCCAAUACCACAUUCCGCCCCCCCUUGCAAUGCCCCCCAAAAGCAGCAUAAAAGCCAUGCAUGCUGAUAUGACAUCACCAGUUCAUUGUCUUUAAGGAAUGUGAUAUUUCAUUUUUUAUAGGGUGACCCUAUUCCAAGAUAGAAGGGAAAAUAGAAAACAGGGCUUAGAACUUGAAAGAGAAAAUUUGGGUCAGGCUCCAGCUUAAUGCAGUUUCCAUUCUUGGAGCCAAAAUGCCGUCUAGUCAAUUCACAAAGGGAGUCGCUGGAGGAGUGGGGACUGUUGGGUGUCUAGGAUUUUGCCCUAACAAUGAAAUUAAGGGUGUUAUGCUUCAUUUCCUGUUUUGGAAAACAGAGUCUUUGGCUUAAAAAAAAAAAAAGGCUAAUUGCAUAUUGUUUUAAAAAAUUGGGUUGAUAAUUCAUCAUAUCAUAAUUAAACUAAUUAGAAUGCUGUUAUUUUCCAACAGCUUUAAUGAGGUCUUCCACUUGGCAGAGAACCUGUGAGACCAAAAAAUAUUGCCAUUUGUUAAAAGAUGGGGAAACUCUGAUGACAAACGACUCUAUUCAGCCGCAUUUUGGUUAAUAAGAUUUAUGCAUUAAUCUAGUUAUACUUUGUUCCCUCGAGUUUGGCAAACUUCUGAAGUUUUCCAAUUUUCUACUGUGUCUCUCCUGCUCCCCACCCCCUUCUUCUCCUUGGAGAAUUUCUGGCGUCUGAGUUCAAAUAGGUGGAAACAUUCUCUGCUUCCAGCCGAGGCUCCCCAGCUCGGUUGGAAUGCUCGUCUGGUUGUAAUAGAGCCUGCUUUGGGGCCAGCCGCUCUCAAAAUAUCUCCUCGGCUUAUGAAGCAGAAAAUAGAAGUUUGGGCCGACUCGGGUCUCCUUCCAGGGUGUUUCUUGCUGCUUGCUUUGGGGGGCACUGUUGCUCCAGUUUGAGAGCUCCGGCGGGGCUCUGGUCGCAAAUCUGUUUAGAAGGAGCUCAGACCCACGGGUUUGGAUUUCUGCAGGAAAAGUCAGCAGCGUAUAAAUAUAGAAGACAUACAAUAAAAUGCGGACGCGAUAUUGCAAUAAUUAUGUUAAGAAGGCUUAGUGGAGCUACCUUUUUGAAACAUCUGGUUUGUUUCUGGUCUUUCCACAUCCUGCAGAUGUUGCCGAAGCCAUGAAAUACACUGACAGGAGAAUACAUUAGCUCACGAAGUCAUUCCCAUGAAUAAAGCAAAGGGUAGCCUCUUAACUUUCUAAAAA
rnacentral:lncRNA from 12 species